rnacentral:lncRNA from 1 species
AGUAGUCCCUGAAAUCAAAUAACCAUCUUAAUAGCUUCUUAGCACGUAAGAACUGUAGCUGGUUAUAAAAAAAAUUCAUGACUAAGAUAUUGUGAACGAUCAAAAUACAAAGAUUAUAUAUUACAUCAAAGGUUACAAUGUGUUUCAAAAAAAAAAAAAACAUCAAAGGUUACAACUGAAUUUUACAAACCAAGACGAUCAGACACCUUGCUAAACGUCUUCUUAACCUUACCGAGAAAUUAAAAAAGAUACUGCUAUCAUUCAAGCUCGGUCACUUAAAUGUUAAGCCGUUACAAAACCAAAUUACCUGGCUACGACACCAAGUAACCGACCAACAAUGAUGCAACCCUGCAACUAGACCUUUUAUUACAUCCAUGGCUACAAGUGAACUUAGCAAGCCAAAACGACAAGACACAUUGCUAAACUCACAUUUUAACCAUCCUGAGAAAAGAUAAAAAGAUUCUGCCGAGUUAUGAACCAAUUAACACUGAAUUCUAAAUUUUGUAAUAUUCUAAAUUUUGUAAUUGUGAUUUUUAUAGUUGUUUAACUUGUUAAGAAUAAU